rnacentral:misc_RNA from 1 species
GAUGAAGAACGCAGUGAAAUGCGAUAAGUAAUGUGAAUUGCAGAAUUCAGUGAAUCAUCGAAUCUUUGAACGCACAUUGCGCCCGCCAGUAUUCUGGCGGGCAUGCCUGUCCGAGCGUCAUUUCAACCCUCGAACCCCUCCGGGGGGUCGGCGUUGGGGAUCGGCCCUGCCUCUUGGCGGUGGCCGUCUCCGAAAUACAGUGGCGGUCUCGCCGCAGCCUCUCCUGCGCAGUAGUUUGCACACUCGCAUCGGGAGCGCGGCGCGUCCACAGCCGUUAAACACCCAACUUCUGAAAUGUUGACCUCGGAUCAGGUAGGAAUACCCGCUGAACUUAAGCAUAUCAAUAAGCGGAGGA